rnacentral:rRNA from 1 species
UACAGAGGGUGCGAGCGUUAAUCGGAGUUACUGGGCGUAAGGGCGCGUAGGCGGUUAUAUAAGAUUGAUGUGAAAUCCCUGGGCUUAACCUAGGAACUGCAUUGAUUACUGUAUGACUAGAGUACUGUAGAGGGUAGUAGAAUUUCCGGUGUAGCGGUGAAAUGCGUAGAGAUCGGAAGGAAUACCAGUGGCGAAGGCGGCUACCUGGACAGAUACUGACGCUGAGGCGCGAGAGCGUGGGGAGC